AACUGACACUGUUGCUUUUUUCCACAUACAAUGUUCCUUUGAAACUCUCCUGGGGAGGAGGUCUAACCCAGCACUGGAGGAUAUGAUCAGCUGCCUAGAGACGUGUCUAGACCAGAGGCCUGGCACAUCGGUGGUGGGCAGUUUUCUGAGGAAACGGAAAUAGAGUUUAAAAUCCACCCAAAUCAGAAACACAUUUCCUUGAAUGGGAAAGGUGGGGGGCAUUCCGCCGGGCUUAGGGUCCAGCCGGUGGGUAAGGGAUCCUCCCUGGGUAAAGAAAACCUAGGUGACGACGAGGGUGGGAUUCGAACCCACGCGUGCAGAGCACAAUGGAUUAGCAGUCCAUCGCCUUAACCACUCGGCCACCUCGUCUGUACACGCAAGCCUCGGGCCGUUCCUCCCCGCUGGUUCGGAGCCGUGUCUACUCCGCCCUGCGCUGGGCCCUCCCUGCUCGGCCCUCGCCCAGGGCUCCUGAGCGCUCCCGCCCCGGACGGCUCUGGCGGGCGGGACGCCGGGGCUUCCGGGCGGCGGAGAGCAGCGAAAACCUGGUUGGGCCGUUGGGUUCGCCUCUGAAACGCGCUGGACAGCUCCGACGCACCUGCGCUCCUGGCCGGUUUCCUCACCCGCUGCUGCGUUUGAUCAGUCCGCAACCUGGACGUGCGGCCACUGGUGUGCGCGUGGCCGGACGAGCAGGGAGCGGAGCGCCGGCCCGGGUUCAGCGCCGGCUCGCGGGACGCACAAGCCCAGGAACCCUAAUUCCACACGGUAAUUUUAGGAGUGUUUCCCAAAGCGAGCUUGCGGGGAGCCUCUCGCCAGCUUCUCAGGCUCCUGCUGCUGCAGCCCCAGCCCCUGAGCUCCCUUG
rnacentral:tRNA from 1 species